rnacentral:rRNA from 1 species
GACGAACGCUGGCGGCGUGCUUAACACAUGCAAGUCGAACGGAAAGGCCCUGCUUUUGUGGGGUGCUCGAGUGGCGAACGGGUGAGUAACACGUGAGUAACCUGCCCUUGACUUUGGGAUAACUUCAGGAAACUGGGGCUAAUACCGGAUAGGAGCUCCUGCUGCAUGGUGGGGGUUGGAAAGUUUCGGCGGUUGGGGAUGGACUCGCGGCUUAUCAGCUUGUUGGUGGGGUAGUGGCUUACCAAGGCUUUGACGGGUAGCCGGCCUGAGAGGGUGACCGGCCACAUUGGGACUGCGAUACGGCCCAGACUCCUACGGGAGGCAGCAGUGGGGAAUAUUGCACAAUGGGCGGAAGCCGGAUGCAGCAACGCCGCGUGCGGGAUGACGGCCUUCUGGUUGUAAACCGCUUUCGCCUGUGACGAAGCGUGAGUGACGGUAAUGGGUAAAGAAGCACCGGCUAACUACGUG